UUGCUAUGUUCAUUUGAUUAAAAAGCCAUAUCUUCUCCUUCUGCUAAUAGAGAGAUUGAAAUGUUUGUAACAUGCUAGAUUAAAUGUGGAGCUAUCAGGGCUGCCUGUCUUAAAGCACAGACUGUGCAGUAGUAUAAAACUCCAACAUUA